rnacentral:rRNA from 1 species
AGGGAAUAUUGGGCAAUGGGCGAGAGCCUGACCCAGCCAUGCCGCGUGCAGGAAGAAGGCUUUCUGAGUCGUAAACUGCUUUUGACAGGGAAGAAUAAGCGCUACGUGUAGUGCGAUGACGGUACCUGCAGAAUAAGCACCGGCUAACUCCGUGCCGGCAGCCGCGGUAAUACGGAGGGUGCGAGCGUUGUCCGGGUUUAUUGGGUUUAAAGGGCGCGUAGGCGGUUCUUUAAGUCUGGGGUGAAAGCCCGCUGCUCAACAGCGGAACUGCCCUGGAUACUGGAGAACUUGAGUACAGACGAGGUUGGCGGAAUGGACGGAGUAGCGGUGAAAUGCAUAGAUACCGUCCAGAACCCCGAUUGCGAAGGCAGCUGACUAGGCUGUGACUGACGCUGAGGCACGAAAGCGUGGGGAGCGAAC